rnacentral:rRNA from 1 species
GACGAACGCUGGCGGCGUGCUUAACACAUGCAAGUCGAACGGAAAGGCCCUGCUUUUGUGGGUUGCUCGAGUGGCGAACGGGUGAGUAACACGUGAGUAACCUGCCCUUGACUUUGGGAUAACUUCAGGAAACUGGGGCUAAUACCGGAUAUGAGCUCCUGCUGCAUGGUGGUGGUUGGAAAGUUUCGGCGGUUGGGGAUGGACUCGCGGCUUAUCAGCUUGUUGGUGGGGUAGUGGCUUACCAAGGCUUUGACGGGUAGCCGGCCUGAGAGGGUGACCGGCCACAUUGGGACUGAGAUACGGACCAGACUCCUAUGGGAGGCAGCAGUGGGGAAUAUUGCACAAUGGGCGGAAGCCUGAUGCAGCAACGCCGCGUGCGGGAUGACGGCCUUCGGGUUGUAAACCGCUUUCGCCUGUGACGAAGCGUGAGUGACGGUAAUGGGUAAAGAAGCACCGGCUAACUACGUG